AACCGCUCACGGCCUGCAAUGGGAUGGGAUCCGAAGCCCCUCGAGGGAUAAUACAGGCUCUCCCAUCCAACUCCUAUUCCGACACGUCCUCGGCGUGCAAAGUGGUAACGUGUGCCACUACAAGCUUGGGUACACGGGCUUGACCCAACCCCUUGGGCGGAUGGUGGCACAUGGCAAACCAGGAAGGG
rnacentral:ribozyme from 1 species